rnacentral:rRNA from 1 species
AGCUGCAGAAGAAGCACCGGCUAACUCCGUGCCAGCAGCCGCGGUAAUACGGAGGGUGCGAGCGUUAAUCGGAAUUACUGGGCGUAAAGCGCAUGCAGGUGGUUUGUUAAGUCAGAUGUGAAAGCCCCGGGGCUCAACCUCGGAAUUGCAUUUUGAAACUGGCAAACUAGAGUACUGUAGAGGGGGGUAGAAUUUCAGGUGUAGCGGUGAAAAUGCGUAGAGAUCUGAAGGAAUACCGGUGGCGAAGGCGGCCCCCCUGGACAGAUACUGACACUCAGAUGCGAAAGCGUGGGGAGCAAACAGGAUUAGAUACCCCUGGUAG